GUGGGGAAUCUUGCGCAAUGGGCGAAAGCCUGACGCAGCCAUGCCGCGUGAAUGAUGAAGGCCUUAGGGUUGUAAAGUUCUUUUGCCCGUGACGAUGAUGACGGUAACGGGAGAAUAAGCUCCGGCUAACUUCGUGCCAGCAGCCGCGGUAAUACGAAGGGGGCUAGCGUUGUUCGGAAUUACUGGGCGUAAAGCGCGCGCAGGCGGCUUGGUAAGUUGGGGGUGAAAUCCCUGGGCUCAACCCAGGAAUGGCCUUCAAGACUGCUUGGCUGGAGGACGAGAGAGGUGAGUGGAAUUCCCAGUGUAGAGGUGAAAUUCGUAGAUAUUGGGAAGAACACCGGUGGCGAAGGCGGCUCACUGGCUCGUUUCUGACGCUGAGGCGCGAAAGCGUGGGGAGCAAACAGGAUUAGAAACCCUAGUAGUCC
rnacentral:rRNA from 1 species